rnacentral:rRNA from 1 species
GACGAACGCUGGCGGCGUGCCUAAUACAUGCAAGUCGAGCGGACUGAUUAAGAGCUUGCUCUUAUGACGUUAGCGGCGGACGGGUGAGUAACACGUGGGCAACCUGCCCUGUAGAUCGGGAUAACACCGAGAAAUCGGUGCUAAUACCGGGUAAUAUCUGAGAUCACAUGAUCUUAGGUUAAAAGAUGGCUCCGGCUAUCACUACAGGAUGGGCCCGCGGCGCAUUAGCUAGUUGGUAAGGUAAGGGCUUACCAAGGCGACGAUGCGUAGACGACCUGAGAGGGUGAUCGGCCACACUGGGACUGAGACACGGCCCAGACUCCUACGGGAGGCAGCAGUAGGGAAUCUUCCGCAAUAGACGAAAGUCUGACGGAGCAACGCCGCGUGAGUGAUGAAGGGUUUCGGCUCGUAAAGCUCGGUUGUUAGGGAAGAAACAGUACCGAACGAACUAGGUCGGUACCUGGACGGUACCUAACCAGAAAGCCACGGCUAACUACGU